GUGUCUUGGCAGAACUAAAAGGAAGCAUGGCUUGUGAUCACAGCUCAGUCAUACAAGGAAAGAUUUAGGAUCUCCACAGCCUGAGGAUGGAAAGGUAACAGUGGAAAGGAGGGAUCUCUAUCAUUCUAGCAACUAUGGGAGUCAUCAAAGCCCAAUGUCAAGACAAAAGUCAGGAUGACUGGUGAGGCCCAGGAUGUAGUAGAUAACGUUGGCAUCUGACCAAGUUCUAAACUCUCCAUAGCACCUGCUUCAGCAAUCUUCAUGGCUGUUGGAACAGGGGACUAGAAACUGUAUCAAAAGAGAAACACUUGAAGGAACCAUAGACACUUAACAUGAAGAAAAGAAGACCCUGGGGAUAAAGGAUCAAUACAACGAAUAUAUGGAUGCUCUUGCACUAAAAAAAGAAUAGCAUUACAGUGAUCCCUCACCCAACAGUGAUCCCUCACCUAACACAGGAGCUACGUUCCAGAGACCCUGGUGAAGUUGUGGAUAUGGAUUGGAACUGACAAUUUUAGUGACUGGCAACCUGAUAGCAUCCUCUCAAGACCAUCACUGGCCAAUCACAUCCAUAUGGGAGAACUGUUUGUGUUGUCACCUCCUCCCAGGACAUCUCUCUACCAAUGUACACAUGGAAAAGGGGAAAGAAUGUGGUUGUUCUGAAGAGCUGUGAUUACUUUCUAGGGGGGACCCUCAAGAAAAAAUCCAUAUAAAAAUUAGUAUUGACUACAGUGGAAGGGACUCUCAUGUGAUGUGUAUAGAGGGGAUGGGUGAGCAAUUCUUGACAAUGUGAACAGGAUAGCUGAGGAACCUAGAAAAUUUGGCCAUAGCAUUUUAAGGGCAUAUUCUUUCCUACUAUAUUUGUCUCUCUAUUCUGCCUUUAGUUAAAGAAAAUUAAAAAUUAGAAAAAUUUUGACCACCAGAAAAAGGCCCC
rnacentral:lncRNA from 1 species